rnacentral:rRNA from 1 species
UACAGAGGGUGCGAGCGUUUAAUCGGAAUUACUGGGCGUAAAGCGCACGUAGGUGGCGACGUAAGUCGGGUGUGAAAGCCCCGGGCUCAACCUGGGAAUUGCAUUCGAGACUGCAUUGCUGGAGUACGGAAGAGGAAGGCGGAAUUCCCGGUGUAGCGGUGAAAUGCGUAGAUAUCAGGAGGAACACCUGUGGCGAAAGCGGCUCACUGGACCACAACUGACGCUGAUGCACGAAAGCUAGGGGAGCAAACAGG